rnacentral:rRNA from 1 species
UACGGGGGGGGCAAGCGUUGUUCGGAAUUACUGGGCGUAAAGAGCGUGUAGGCGGCCAUGUAGGUCCGUUGUGAAAACUCGAGGCUCAACCUCGAGACGCCGAUGGAAACCAUGUGGCUAGAGUCCGGAAGAGGAGAGUGGAAUUCCUGGUGUAGCGGUGAAAUGCGCAGAUAUCAGGAGGAACACCGGUGGCGAAGGCGGGUCUCUGGGCCGAUACUGACGCUGAGGAGCGAAAGCGUGGGGAGCGAACAGG